GGUUAAGCGACUAAGCGUACACGGUGGAUGCCCUGGCAGUCAGAGGCGAUGAAGGACGUGCUAAUCUGCGAAAAGCGUCGGUAAGGUGAUAUGAACCGUUAUAGCCGGCGAUGUCCGAAUGGGGAAACCCAGUGCAAUUCGUUGCACUAUCGUUAACUGAAUACAUAGGUUAACGAGGCGAACCGGGGGAACUGAAACAUCUAAGUACCCCGAGGAAAAGAAAUCAACCGAGAUUCCCCCAGUAGCGGCGAGCGAACGGGGAGCAGCCCAGAGUCUGAAUCAGCUUGUGUGUUAGUGGAACGGUCUGGAAAGUCCGACGGUACAGGGUGAUAGUCCCGUACACCAAAAUGCACAGGCUGUGAACUCGAAGAGUAGGGCGGGACACGUGGUAUCCUGUCUGAAUAUGGGGGGACCAUCCUCCAAGGCUAAAUACUCCUGACUGACCGAUAGUGAACCAGUACCGUGAGGGAAAGGCGAAAAGAACCCCGGCGAGGGGAGUGAAAAAGAACCUGAAACCGUGUACGUACAAGCAGUGGGAGCACCUUCGGGUGUGACUGCGUACCUUUUGUAUAAUGGGUCAGCGACUUAUAUUCUGUAGCAAGGUUAACCGUAUAGGGGAGCCGCAGGGAAACCGAGUCUUAACUGGGCGUUAAGUUGCAGGGUAUAGACCCGAAACCCGGUGAUCUAGCCAUGGGCAGGUUGAAGGUUGGGUAACACUAACUGGAGGACCGAACCGACUAAUGUUGAAAAAUUAGCGGAUGACUUGUGGCUGGGGGUGAAAGGCCAAUCAAACCGGGAGAUAGCUGGUUCUCCCCGAAAGCUAUUUAGGUAGCGCCUCGUGAAUUCAUCUUCGGGGGUAGAGCACUGUUUCGGCUAGGGGGUCAUCCCGACUUACCAACCCGAUGCAAACUACGAAUACCGAAGAAUGUUAUCACGGGAGACACACGGCGGGUGCUAACGUCCGUCGUGAAGAGGGAAACAACCCAGACCGCCAGCUAAGGUCCCAAAGUCAUGGUUAAGUGGGAAACGAUGUGGGAAGGCACAGACAGCCAGGAUGUUGGCUUAGAAGCAGCCAUCAUUUAAAGAAAGCGUAAUAGCUCACUGGUCGAGUCGGCCUGCGCGGAAGAUGUAACGGGGCUAAACCAUGCACCGAAGCUGCGGCAGCGACACUAUGUGUUGUUGGGUAGGGGAGCGUUCUGUAAGCCUGCGAAGGUGACCUGUGAGGGUUGCUGGAGGUAUCAGAAGUGCGAAUGCUGACAUAAGUAACGAUAAAGCGGGUGAAAAGCCCGCUCGCCGGAAGACCAAGGGUUCCUGUCCAACGUUAAUCGGGGCAGGGUGAGUCGACCCCUAAGGCGAGGCCGAAAGGCGUAGUCGAUGGGAAACAGGUUAAUAUUCCUGUACUUGGUGUUACUGCGAAGGGGGGACGGAGAAGGCUAUGUUAGCCGGGCGACGGUUGUCCCGGUUUAAGCAUGUAGGCUGAUUGUCCAGGCAAAUCCGGAUAAUCAAGGCUGAGGUGUGAUGACGAGGCACUACGGUGCUGAAGUAACAAAUGCCCUGCUUCCAGGAAAAGCCUCUAAGCAUCAGGUAACAUCAAAUCGUACCCCAAACCGACACAGGUGGUCAGGUAGAGAAUACCAAGGCGCUUGAGAGAACUCGGGUGAAGGAACUAGGCAAAAUGGUGCCGUAACUUCGGGAGAAGGCACGCUGGUGUGUAGGUGAAGUCCCUGCGGAUGGAGCUGAGACCAGUCGAAGAUACCAGCUGGCUGCAACUGUUUAUUAAAAACACAGCACUGUGCAAACACGAAAGUGGACGUAUACGGUGUGACGCCUGCCCGGUGCCGGAAGGUUAAUUGAUGGGGUUAUCCGUAAGGAGAAGCUCUUGAUCGAAGCCCCGGUAAACGGCGGCCGUAACUAUAACGGUCCUAAGGUAGCGAAAUUCCUUGUCGGGUAAGUUCCGACCUGCACGAAUGGCGUAAUGAUGGCCAGGCUGUCUCCACCCGAGACUCAGUGAAAUUGAACUCGCUGUGAAGAUGCAGUGUACCCGCGGCAAGACGGAAAGACCCCGUGAACCUUUACUAUAGCUUGACACUGAACAUUGAGCCUUGAUGUGUAGGAUAGGUGGGAGGCUUUGAAGCGUGGACGCCAGUCUGCGUGGAGCCAACCUUGAAAUACCACCCUUUAAUGUUUGAUGUUCUAACGUUGGCCCCUUACCGGGGUUGCGGACAGUGUCUGGUGGGUAGUUUGACUGGGGCGGUCUCCUCCCAAAGCGUAACGGAGGAGCACGAAGGUUAGCUAAUCCUGGUCGGACAUCAGGAGGUUAGUGCAAUGGCAUAAGCUAGCUUGACUGCGAGCGUGACGGCGCGAGCAGGUGCGAAAGCAGGUCAUAGUGAUCCGGUGGUUCUGAAUGGAAGGGCCAUCGCUCAACGGAUAAAAGGUACUCCGGGGAUAACAGGCUGAUACCGCCCAAGAGUUCAUAUCGACGGCGGUGUUUGGCACCUCGAUGUCGGCUCAUCACAUCCUGGGGCUGAAGUAGGUCCCAAGGGUAUGGCUGUUCGCCAUUUAAAGUGGUACGCGAGCUGGGUUUAGAACGUCGUGAGACAGUUCGGUCCCUAUCUGCCGUGGGCGCUGGAGAAUUGAGGGGGGCUGCUCCUAGUACGAGAGGACCGGAGUGGACGCAUCACUGGUGUUCGGGUUGUCAUGCCAAUGGCACUGCCCGGUAGCUAAAUGCGGAAGAGAUAAGUGCUGAAAGCAUCUAAGCACGAAACUUGCCCCGAGAUGAGUUCUCCCUGAGACUUUAAGUCUCCUGAAGGAACGUUGAAGACGACGACGUUGAUAGGCCGGGUGUGUAAGCGCAGCGAUGCGUUGAGCUAACCGGUACUAAUGAACCGUGAGGCUUAACCUU
rnacentral:rRNA from 1 species